rnacentral:tRNA from 1 species
GCCGAAGUGGCGGAAUUUGGUAGACGCGCUAGGUUCAGGGUCUAGUAGGCGAAUGCCUGUGGGGGUUCGAGUCCCCCCUUCGGCACCA